rnacentral:rRNA from 1 species
CCCUUAGAUGUUCUGGGCGGCCCGCGCACUACAAUGGCGUGUGCAGCGAGUGUCGAAGUAGAGUUUUCCGAGGUAUUCUUGCAAUGCUCGUUUUGAUGGGGAUAGACCCUUGCAACUGUUGGUUUUGAACGAGGAAUUCCUUGUAAGCAUGGUUUAUCAUCCGACGCUGAAUGCGUCCCUGCCCUUUGUACACACCGCCCGUCGCUCCUACCGAUGAGUCGUCCGGUGAAGUUCGUAGACCUCGUGAUCGCGGAUCACUGGGGGAAGCAAAAUGAACCUCGCGGUUUAGAGGAAGGAGAAGUCGUAACA